rnacentral:rRNA from 1 species
AGAGUAGCAUUGGAGUACAGUCGGUGCCAGCAGCCGCGGUAAUUCCAGCUCCAAUAGCGUAUAUUAAACUUGUUGCAGUUAAAAAGCUCGUAGUUGAAUUUUAGCGUGUUCGAGUUUGCCAUUCGUUUGGCUUUUUCGAGUUCGCUUUUGGGUUUUCCCUUUUUACUUUGAGAAAAUUAGAGUGUUUCAAGCAGACUUUUGUCUUGAAUACUUCAGCAUGGAAUAAUAGAGUAGGACUUUGGUUCUAUUUUGUUGGUUAUUGAACCUUAGUAAUGGUUAAUAGGAACGUUGGGG